GAUGAACGCUAGCGGCAGGCCUAACACAUGCAAGUCGAGGGGUAUAGUUCUUCGGAACUAGAGACCGGCGCACGGGUGCGUAACGCGUAUGCAAUCUACCUUUUACAGGGGAAUAGCCCAGAGAAAUUUGGAUUAAUGCCCCAUAGUGUUAUAGAAUCGCAUGGUUUUAUAACUAAAGUUCCAACGGUAAAAGAUGAGCAUGCGUCCCAUUAGUUAGUUGGUAAGGUAACGGCUUACCAAGACAAUGAUGGGUAGGGGUCCUGAGAGGGAGAUCCCCCACACUGGUACUGAGACACGGACCAGACUCCUACGGGAGGCAGCAGUGAGGAAUAUUGGACAAUGGGCGGCAAGCCUGAUCCAGCCAUGCCGCGUGCAGGAAGACGGUCCUAUGGAUUGUAAACUAGCUUUUGUACAGGAAGAAACACUCCCUCGUGAGGGAGCUUGACGGUACUGUAAGAAUAAGGAUCGGCUAACUACCGUGCCAGCAGCCGCGGUAAAGU
rnacentral:rRNA from 1 species